UCUAGGUACUGGAAAGUGCUCCAAGGUCUCCCCAGAACCUACUCUUCUCCAGGCUGCACAACCCUAGCUGUCUCAGCCUGUCGUCAUAGUACAGCUUCUCCAGCCCUCUGGCCUCACUCCAACAGUAUCAAAUGCAACAAGAUAUUUUGGUACCUGCUCUCCUCUGUGCAACCUACCUGCUUCUCUGGCUGCUGCCUUUGCCUUCUGCUUCAAACUGCCUUUGCCAACAAACCUCCCAUUGUUCUCCCUGGAAGACUGCAAAAUACAGAGUCACAGCCACAACUGACAAUGUAAAACAGAGAAAGCAGCUGGUGAGAUGGAGGAACACAUUGAUCUUCAGAACAAUCUACAGCCAUCUGACUGGGCUUGAAUGUUGGAGAAAUAACUCAUCAUGAAAGAGAAAGGUUUGAAAGUAACUCAGAACUGUGGAAAUUGCUUUAGCUAUUAGGGCAUUAUUCCAAAGAACAACCCACACAAAUCAAACUGGUUUGUAUAACUUGAGUGAUGACACUUCUCUUAAAUGGUAUCCUUGAUGUUAAAAAUACUCUGUGCGUACAUAAAAUAUUUUGUUAAUAAGCAUAGCUGAUAGCAAUAAGGAAACAGUUCUUUAAGUAAUUUUGAUUUAGUGCAAAAUUCUGUUUCCCAUGCUUCCUCUUUUCUUCCUUCCUCCAUUUUAUUUGAGAACAUUUUGAGCUGGACAAACAGCUUUACUGAGACACUAAUGGCUGAAUGUAGAGAGCAGACUCAUCUGGGCACACGAGUCUGCAGGAAAAGAUAGGAUGAGUUCCAGACACUGAAGCUCUUAAAAGUGUCAGACUCUUGACAAGUGAUUUCAGUGCCUGAUCCUGCUGCAUGUGAAGUGAUACUUUAAUUUGCAAUUGAAUGACAAAGUCCUCAAAUCAUCCUUAUCUCCUGAGUAAUUGAAGAAAGACUCUGCAGUGUAAAAAACUCAUUAUGAUUC